CAGCUAAAAAAAAAAAAAAAAGAUAGAAAGCGGCUGCUCGUGACUUUGAUCGUAUUGUCGUCUGCAGCUUAUUUCACGCACAGUUACCGCAAAAUGACUCCAAGUUAGCUUUAUGGUAGGAUCAAAAUUGUCUUUGAGAAGCUAAAUGUGCAUUUUGCAACCAUCAAAGGCGAAACCGUAUUUGAUGUUUGUGUGUGUGUAUGUGUGGACGGGCGGGGGGUGGCAUCUUAGCAUCAUUGAAGACUUGAAAACAAAUUUGCCUUUGAUGUUUAUUAGCUUUAUUGAAGACUAAAUAUGUUUAGAUGUCUAUGGAAAAAAGUGUGCUAAUUUCACAGAUUUUUUAAUGUUUCUUUUUAUUAUUACAAAAAAAGUAAGUGUACGAGUCUUUGAUGUGCAUGUAUUCAAUGUUCACAUAAAAUAGUUAUCUUAAAAGACUCGAGUGAAAAUGCAAAUCUUUUCUUGGAUCGUCACAAAAAUGGCCUCCCUCUCCAUUUUAGAGUUCACACUAUUUGUUUUCAAAUCUUGAAAUGGUCUUGCUCUGAGCUCCUCCAAAAAAGUGUCUUGAGUGUCAUCUUCAUUCAUUUUCAUUUUGACCCCCCCCCCCCGAAUCAUUCCCGCCCACUUGUGCACUUAAAUCAGGGCCAAUUCAUCAUGUGACGGCACGCUGGCUGUUUCAUUUGGCAAACAAGAGGAGCCCACAUUGCACAUGGGGCAUAUGUUUACCCCAUGAAACGUUUUGGCCUCAGCUACGCCAUCCGUCUCUCUCGUCCUAUCUGGAUUUCAUUUAGCCUCAGCAGAUGGCGGCCAUGCUGAACUUGGAAAGAUGGCCGUGCCUUUUGACUCUCACGCUUUGGCUUACUGAGUUGCUUUUCCUUCGCAGGAAGAAGAAAUUAAUCUAGAUGUCGUGUCGGACAAAAUGAGGGUCAAGUGGUGUACCAAAUCGACAUCAUUAGUCUAGUGAAUUCACUUCUUACACUUGCAUGGCUAUUUGAAGCAUUGCCAGCAGUUUGUGUUGCUUGUACAAUGACGACUGUUCAAACCAGUAACAGAUUAUUUCAUCCAUCCAUCCAUUUUUGGAACCACUUUGUCCUCACGAGGGUCAGGGCAGAGCAUUUCUAUUUGCAUUGUUUCUAAUGCGCUGGAAUUUGAACGAAAUGUUUUGUUUUCAAGAUCCAUGCUGGCAUUUUGGGUCUGAUGGGCCUUUCGCAAUAACCACUUGAAAGAACACAUUUAUUCUUCCUGACCGUGUGGGAAUUUUUUGCUGAGCUUGCCGCCGGGCCACUCCCUCCUUAUUGGGCCAGUCUUUCGUUGAUGAGACAAAGGUCCUCGGGGAGCCGUCACCAGAAGCAAACACAAAACAGACAACUCGCGCACAGCAAAGCAACAUAGCAUUAAUCAGAAACACACACAAAAUUGGCAAAACUAUGUUGCUUGCACUGAACAUUCCAAAGGAUGUUUGUUUGUUUUCAGAUUUUUUGUUUUAACCAGAUAUUUAUGUUCAUUAAAGAAAUCUCUUUGAUGUU